GCGACUGCAGGCAGGGGAAGCGACAGGCAAGUUUCUCGCCUCUGCGGAGAAACUUGCACCUGCGUGCCGCCGCAGGGCCGGGUUCGGAUGUGCCCUGGCAUUGCACACGCACCACACCCCCCCGCGGGGAGGGUCCGCGCUGCCUCGAGGACCCUGUCUGUGCUGCCGGGAGAGAGAAAUCCUUUGGGAAGCUGGGCUGGAAACAGCAACUCUGUGAACUGCUCAGCUUUUCCUAGGUGACGAAGCUUAUGGAAAAAAAGACCAAAGGCCUCGAGUUGUUUUUUCAGCCUUGGUCUAAGUUUCGUGUAGAAAAGGGCAUAGAAUUAUUAGA